UAAAACAAACAUAAAAACUUAACACUUAAAAAAUCUACUGCAAACAACUUAACAAAAAUAAUUAAAUAUAUACUUAAGAUAUACAUAUAUAAACUAACGAACAAAAGCUAACAUUACAAAAAUAAAAUAUUUACAAUAAAUAUUAUAUUAAUCUUACAUAAAAAAGCAAACAAUCAACAACAUUUAAAGCAAAUAAAAU
rnacentral:lncRNA from 1 species